rnacentral:misc_RNA from 1 species
GAUGAAGAACGUAGUGAAAUGCGAUACGUAGUGUGAAUUGCAGAAUUCAGUGAAUCAUCGAAUCUUUGAACGCACAUUGCACCUCUCGGUAUUCCGGGAGGUAUGCCUGUUCGAGCGUCAUUUGUACCCUCAAGCUCUGCUUGGUGUUGGGAGUUUGUUCCGCCUCUGUGUGUGAACUCGCCUCAAAACAAUUGGCAGCCGGCGUACUUGUUUCGGAGCGCAGCACAUUUUGCGAUCCAGAUCAACGUACAGCGGCAUCCAAGAAGCCUUAUUUAACGCUCUUGACCUCGGAUCAGGUAGGGAUACCCGCUGAACUUAAGCAUAUCAAUAAGCGGAGGA